rnacentral:rRNA from 1 species
GACGAACGCUGGCGGCGUGCUUAACACAUGCAAGUCGAACGCUGAAGCUUGGUGCUUGCACUGGGUGGAUGAGUGGCGAACGGGUGAGUAAUACGUGAGUAACCUGCCCUUGACUCUGGGAUAAGCCUGGGAAACUGGGUCUAAUACUGGAUACGACAUGUCACCGCAUGGUGGUGUGUGGAAAGGGUUUUACUGGUUUUGGAUGGGCUCACGGCCUAUCAGCUUGUUGGUGGGGUAAUGGCUCACCAAGGCGACGACGGGUAGCCGGCCUGAGAGGGUGACCGGCCACACUGGGACUGAGACACGGCCCAGACUCCUACGGGAGGCAGCAGUGGGGAAUAUUGCACAAUGGGCGGAAGCCUGAUGCAGCGACGCCGCGUGAGGGAUGACUGCCUUCGGGUUGUAAACCUCUUUCAGCACGGAAGAAGCGAAAGUGACGGUACGUGCAGAAGAAGCGCCGGCUAACUACGUG